AUUUAUUCAUUAUUAUUCAAUAUGACUACUUAUUAAAUAUUUGAAGUUCACCUUAAAUUUUUGUACUAUAAUAUAUUUUACUACUAAAACAAAACAAAUGUUUAGCAGAGCAAGUUACCAAUUGGAAAAGAAGUGUAUAUGGUUCCCGGGAGUUUAGGAUGUGGCUCAGUUGUCUUUGCUGCAAUAACUAUGUUGGCGCCAUCCUUGGCUGCUUUCAAAGCAAUUGCUUUGCCAAUACCACGACUUCCUCCGGUAAUAAAUAACGUGCGCCCUUCCAAUUUUCUAAAUUAAUAACAAGAUAUUAUAAAGAUAUUAUACACAGAUUUCAAACGUAUAUAUGCAUGUAUUGCAGAUUAUAAAGUUUCUGAGUGAAGCGACUAAUUUUACAAAAUUUUCAACUUUAGAAUGGUAGUAGAAAAUUGGAUCUAUAUAUGAAUAACGAAUUAUUUUGUUAUGAAUCAAAAAUAUUAUUAGUGGAGACUCGAAACUUUUACGUUGGUAAAAGGUUAUAUUUUGUCAUUAUGAAUUUUACUAUAUUAUCCGCAAUAAUAUUUUCAAUUUGGAUAUAUAUUUGUAAAACGACACAAAGUAAAUAACUCAUUAUUCUUCAUUUAUCUAAAAAAAUAAAGUAUGCUUAUUUUGAAGAUUUUUUUUCAUUUUCAUCAUUUUUUAUUAUAUUUUCAAGCUUUAGAUGAAUCACAUUACAUUAAAGUUUCUUUUUAUAAAUCUUAUAAGUAAAACAUACAUGAAAUCUUGUAUCAUUUUCAAAUUUUAGUUAUCAAAGUAAAAAAAUGUAGGUAGGAUAUUUUUAUUUCAAAAUAAUUUGCAAAUUUUAACCAUUUUGACUCAAUAUUUUAAUGUUCAUAAAAAAUUAUUAUCGAUUAAACUUAGCUUAUUUAUUUAAUUCUAGUAAUAACAACUUAUUAGAACAAUUUUCAAGAUUUUCGACAAAUAUUUAAAAGAUAAAAUCAACAUUUUUUAAUAAUGUCUAAAUAAAAUAGAGUUAAACCAAAAAUGUAUUUACUACAUAAUAUUAUUAAUAGGUCCAAUACUUCAGUCUCCAAUUGUAUUAUUUUACAGACUAUGAUAUAGAUAAUAUAUUAAAUACAAUAUACAAAAUACGUGUAUUAUAUUAUUGUAUAGAGACUGUAUUAUCGGAAUAGAUAUUCUACUAAUUGAUAUAAUGAAAAUAAUUUGUAACUGUGACAUACCUACUUAUUUAGUUAAAAUUAAAAAAUCAUAUAACUUAUUUAUUGUACCCAAGUUCCUUAAUUAUACUCAAAUUAGUAAUUACUUAUUUAUUCAUAUUAUUUAGAUAUAAUAUUAAGAUAACUUGAAAAAUAACAAUAACAAACAUAGAUACAAAAGUAUUUUACUCAUUACUAUUUAAUAUUGUAUAGUUUACUAGAUAGUAUCUAGGUACCUAUAUUAACUUAUGACGAUAGUAAUAAUAAUAUA